rfam:Heligmosomoides polygyrus genome assembly, scaffold: HPBE_scaffold0005531
GCGCCGGUGGUGUAAUGGCGUAGAGCAUUCCCGUCCGGUCAGAGGGAGGUGCGGGUUCGAGUCCCGCUUGGCGCU